rnacentral:rRNA from 1 species
UACAGAGGUCCCAAGCGUUGUUCGGAUUCACUGGGCGUAAAGGGUGCGUAGGCGGUUGGGUAAGUCUGAUGUGAAAUCUCACAGCUUAACUGUGAAACUGCAUUGGAUACUAUCCGGCUAGAGGAAUGGAGGGGAGACUGGAAUACUUGGUGUAGCAGUGAAAUGCGUAGAUAUCAAGUGGAACACCAGUGGCGAAGGCGAGUCUCUGGACAUUUCCUGACGCUGAGGCACGAAAGCCAGGGAGCAAACGGG